rnacentral:siRNA from 1 species
CACAUUAAGUACGUUUUGUUUCGU